ACUCGAGUGGCGAACGGGUGAGUAACACGUGGGUGAUCUGCCUUGUACUCUGGGAUAAGCUUGGGAAACUGGGUCUAAUACCGGAUAGUAGCCGCCUUUAGUGUGGUGGUUGGAAAGUUUUUCGGUGCAAGAUGAGCCCGCGGCCUAUCAGCUUGUUGGUGGGGUAAUGGCCUACCAAGGCGACGACGGGUAGCCGGCCUGAGAGGGUGUACGGCCACAUUGGGACUGAGACACGGCCCAG
rnacentral:rRNA from 1 species